AUCUGGGCCUGGGCUGGACGAGGUGUACAAGGUGCCCUGUCUCCAUGAGUAUCUGCGACAUGUCUGCGCCAGUGUGCGCCAGGAAAAUCCGACAAACCCGACAUUGUACUGUGAAAAGCCUAAAAAGGGGCAUGGUCUCCCACAAAGGAUCCGUGGAUCCUGUGGACUUCUUCGGAUUUGGUGUACGAUGACCAGCGUUUUUUUGUUUAAUAUUAAUAAAAUGGUUAACGAGGGCUUGUGUGGAAGUGUUUUUUUAAAUAAAAUUUUUUUUUUAAUUUUUUUUAAACGUGUUGUAUUUUCUUUAAAUUUACUU